UGAAUCUUCCCCAGAGUAUGAGCUGUAUGCCAUCAUUAAUCACCACGGCUCAUUCAUUGGUGGUCAUUACGUCACACUCAUUAAAGAUCUGAGUGGAAACUGGUAUCAUUUUAAUGAUCACAUAGUCACACCGAUUCCUAAAACAGACUGUCAGUGGAUCAGGGACUGCUCUAAUUCUGCAUAUUUGUU